rnacentral:rRNA from 1 species
AGUGAACGCUGGCGGUAGGCCUAACACAUGCCAGUCGAACGGCAGCACAGUAAGAGCUUGCUCUUACGGGUGGCGAGUGGCGGACGGGUGAGGAAUACAUCGGAAUCUACUUUUUCGUGGGGGAUAACGUAGGGAAACUUACGCUAAUACCGCAUACGACCUACGGGUGAAAGCAGGGGAUCUUCGGACCUUGCGCGAUUGAAUGAGCCGAUGUCGGAUUAGCUAGUUGGCGGGGUAAAGGCCCACCAAGGCGACGAGCCGUAGCUGGUCUGAGAGGAUGAUCAGGCACACUGGAAGUGAGACACGGUCCAGACUCCUACAGGAGGCAGCAGUCGGGAAUAUUGGACAAGGGGCGCAAGCCUGAUCCAGCCAUACCGCGUGGGUGAAGAAGGCCUUCGGGUUGGAAAGCCCUGUUGUUGGGAAAGAAAAGCAGCAGGUUAAUACCCCGCUGUUCUGACGGUACCCAAAGAAUAAGCACCGGCUAACUUCGUG